GACGAACGCUGGCGGCGUGCCUAAUACAUGCAAGUAGAACGCUGAAGAGAGGAGCUUACUCUUCUUGGAUGAGUUGCGCACGGGUGAGUAACGCGUAGGUAACCUGCCUUGUAGCGGGGGAUAACUAUUGGAAACGAUAGCUAAUACCGCAUAACAAUGGAUGACACAUGUCAUUUAUUUGAAAGGGGCAAUUGCUCCACUACAAGAUGGACCUGCGUUGUAUUAGCUAGUAGGUGAGGUAAUGGCUCACCUAGGCGACGAUACAUAGCCGACCUGAGAGGGUGAUCGGCCACACUGGGACUGAGACACGGCCCAGACUCCUACGGGAGGCAGCAGUAGGGAAUCUUCGGCAAGGGGGGCAACCCUGACCGAGCAACGCCGCGUGAGUGAAGAAGGGUUUCGGAUCGUAAAGCUCGGUUGUAAGUGAAGAACGGGUGUGAGAGUGGAAAGUUCACGCUGUGACGGUAGCUUAGCAGAAAGGGACGGCUAACUACGUG
rnacentral:rRNA from 1 species